rnacentral:rRNA from 1 species
GGCGGCAGGCUUAACACAUGCAAGUCGAACGCCCCGCAAGGGGAGUGGCAGACGGGUGAGUAACGCGUGGGAAUCUACCCAGUUCUACGGAAUAACACAGGGAAACUUGUGCUAAUACCGUAUAAGCCCUACGGGGGAAAGAUUUAUCGGGACUGGAUGAGCCCGCGUUGGAUUAGCUAGUUGGUGGGGUAAUGGCCUACCAAGGCGACGAUCCAUAGCUGGUCUGAGAGGAUGAUCAGCCACACUGGGACUGAGACACGGCCCAGACUCCUACGGGAGGCAGCAGUGGGGAAUAUUGGACAAUGGGCGAAAGCCUGAUCCAGCCAUGCCGCGUGAGUGAUGAAGGCCUUAGGGUUGUAAAGCUCUUUCAGUGGGGAAGAUAAUGACGGUACCCACAGAAGAAGCCCCGGCUAACUUCGUGCCAGCAGCCGCGGUAAUACGAAGGGGGCUAGCGUUGUUCGGAUUUACUGGGCGUAAAGCGCACGUA